UUGGGGAUAGCUCAGCUGGUAUAGCAUGAGGCUCUUAAUUUCAGAGUUGUGGGUUCGAGCCCCACAUAGUGCAAAA